GGUCGAUUAGCUCAGCUGGUUAGAGCGUGGUGCUAAUAGUUUAAUCUGUCAACGCCAAGGUCGUGGGUUCGAUCCCCACAUUGACCU
rnacentral:tRNA from 1 species